AUGCUUGUCGAGACAAACAAGCAUGAACAAUACUAUAUUGUUUACAAGCUUCUUAAGUUGGUAUUAAUUCUGCCAGUAGCUACUGCUAGUGUUGAAAGGGUGUUCUCUUCAAUGAACUAUGUGAAGAAUAAGCUAAGGAGCAAAAUGGGUGAUGAUUACUUGAACAAUUGUUUGGUUACAUUUGUUGAGACAGAAUUCUUCAAUCAAGUAAAGGAUGAGGAUGUCAUCAAUCUCUUCCAAAAAGGCGAUCGCAAAGUUAUAUUGUAA
rnacentral:rRNA from 1 species